rnacentral:rRNA from 1 species
UGAGUUUGAUUCUGGCUCAGGAUGAACGCUAGCGGCAGGCCUAACACAUGCAAGUCGAGGGGUAACAGGAAGAAGCUUGCUUCUUCGCUGACGACCGGCGCACGGGUGCGUAACACGUAUGCAACCUACCUCUUACUGAGGGAUAGCCCAGAGAAAUUUGGAUUAAUACCUCAUAAUACCAUAAGAUCGCCUGAUCACUUGGUUAAAGGUUACGGUAAGAGAUGGGCAUGCGGACUAUUAGUUUGUUGGUGAGGUAAUGGCUCACCAAGACUACGAUGGUUAGGGGGUCUGAGAGGAUUAUCCCCCACACUGGUACUGAGACACGGACCAGACUCCUACGGGAGGCAGCAGUGAGGAAUAUUGCGCAAUGGACGAAAGUCUGACGCAGCCAUGCCGCGUGAAGGAUGACGGCGCUACGCGUUGUAAACUUCUUUUAUAUACCAAGAAACCUUCGGACGUGUCCGAAGCUGACGGUAGUAUAUGAAUAAGCACCGGCUAACUCCGUGCCAGCAGCCGCGGUAAUACGGAGGGUGCAAGCGUUAUCCGGAUUUAUUGGGUUUAAAGGGUCCGUAGNCGGAUCAUUAAGUCAGUGGUGAAAGCCGACAGCUCAACUGUCGAACU